CAAAGCUCCUGGGGACGAGCUUUCCCUCCUGGUUAGUCCUGCCCAAGUCCAGAGACCACGGCCCGCCCGGGGGCUCAGGCUGUCUUAGCUAACAGCUGCUACAGACUUGCCCCAAUCUCUCCCUCAGACGUCGUGUUCUGAGGCCUUCUUUCCUGUCGCAUGCUCCCCGGGAUGCGCAGCCAGCCGGGGCAGCGUUCAAGGAAGCCACGGCCCUCCUCACUGGACUUGCCACAGUACUUCCUGCCCACCCCUGCCCUUUACAGCCCCCAGGCGAGACGCGCCAGGGCCUCAUUUUACCAUGUGACCCCCCAGAAAGGAGGCCCCGCCUCAGGAGUUUGGGACCCACCUGGCAGGGAGAUCCCCAGCCGGGGCUGCAGCUGCACGAGUUUCUGGCGAUUGAUAGAACCAGGCUGAGUGGUGGUCCCUGAUGAAACCAGGCUCACAAGUCACACCCCACAGCCAAAGGUGUGGGACGGAGGGAGAGCCGAUUCCAUUCACGGCCACAACACUGAC
rnacentral:lncRNA from 1 species